rnacentral:rRNA from 1 species
UACGGAGGGCGCGAGCGUUACCCGGAUUUACUGGGCGUAAAGGGCGUGUAGGCGGUCUGGGGCGUCCCAUGUGAAAGGCCACGGCUCAACCGUGGAGGAGCGUGGGAUACGCUCAGGCUAGACGGUGGGAGAGGGUGGUGGAAUUCCCGGAGUAGCGGUGAAAUGCGCAGAUACCGGGAGGAACGCCGAUGGCGAAGGAAGCCACCGGGCUCACUGGUGACUAUGAGGCGCGAAAGCGUGGGGAGCAAACCGG